rnacentral:rRNA from 1 species
AACGAACGCUGGCGGCAGGCUUAACACAUGCAAGUCGAACGGGUGUAGUAAUACAUCAGUGGCAGACGGGUGAGUAACACGUGGGAACCUUCCUAGGGGUACGGAACAACUCAGGGAAACUUGAGCUAAUACCGUAUACGUCCGUGAGGAGAAAGAUUUAUCGCCCUUAGACGGGCCCGCGUCGGAUUAGCUAGUUGGUGGGGUAACGGCCUACCAAGGCGACGAUCCGUAGCUGAUCUUAGAGGAUGAUCAGCCACACUGGGACUGAGACACGGCCCAGACUCCUACGGGAGGCAGCAGUGGGGAAUCUUGGACAAUGGGCGCAAGCCUGAUCCAGCCAUGCCGCGUGAGUGAAGAAGGCCUUAGGGUUGUAAAGCUCUUUUGCCAGGGACGAUAAUGACGGUACCUGGAGAAUAAGCCCCGGCAAACUUCGUGCCAGCCGCCGCGGUAAUAC